AGCUGAGGAUGGGGUAGCAAACGCAUGGUGAGGCGGGGAGCUGGUACAUGGGGUUCUUGGAGGGAGGAGCAAGCCGUCAAUUGUUGUGGCGGGGUCGGAGGGGCAGAUCGGAGUCAGCCGAGUGACGUUCGUCACGGCCAUGAGUUGUGGCCUGUCUUCAAAAGCACAAAGCCACAUCACGCUGAUGACAAUUGGCCGUCCAUCGUUUGAAUCGUGUUCGUAGUAUUCUGUACAUCUCCACAAGGCACAACACGGGUAAUUUCACCACAUGUCGCUUAUUGAAUCCUGAAGCAAUUAACUUAUAGCUUAAUUACCUGCAGACUACAGUUCUUUAUUGGGAACGAAGGAUUGGUCUAUUGUUCUUCCACUCUGUUUGUAUUUCCAGGAAGUCUUUUGCCUAUUAUGCAGCACAUGAGUUCAAAUAUUUCUUAUUUGAUGUAGAAUCAAAUAAAAAGGUUGAUGUUUCAUGGCUCAAUCAAAUACUAUGAUUGUCAGUCUCACUGUGUAUUUAUAGGUAAUUCUUUUCAAUAUUAUGAUUGUCAGUCUCACUGUGUAUUAUCCUCUUUGAUUAUCUUGCACUGCAGAAUUAUUAUGCGAUCAAAUUUAUAGGUGUAUUCAUUGUUUCUCCUCUUAACUAUGUAGAUGGAACAAGGAUCACACAUAUUACUGCUGACUGUGAUGAGAAAGGGAGCUUGGAGAAGGGCAUCAUAGAGUUGAUGCCACCUCAGCAGACAAAGAACACGAGAACGACGAGGUGAGCCGGUACUCUGCAGGAGCCGGACCAUGGGGAGGUUCUAAUUUUAAGAAAUCUUGGUUGCUAGCAUAUGUAAGGUUUGAAGUAUGGAUUGAGAAAAUAAACAUCUAAAUGCCAAGUAAUUUGUCUGAGAAUUUGACACACUGGUUUAGGAAUCCAGUACUGUUUUCUUCAUCCUACUAUCUUGAGUUUGUUGUGGAGGAAGUAUUGACUUUCUUUCUAAAUGGACAAGAAGUAGUGUGAUCAUAAUGCAUUAUUACUUCCUUCAUGUUUAUAUGGGAGAAUGGAUUGGUUAAAGAGGACAAAAAGUUGCCAUUUUAAUUUGAACUGCUACAAUCUGUUUGUCGUUGUGAGAAAACAUUUUAAUACAGAACUUAGAUAUUUACUCCCUCCGUCCCACAAUAUAAGACAUUUUUGCAAGCUAUUUAGCUUGCAAAAACAUCUUAUAUUGUGGGACGGAGGGAGUAUAUAUAUUUGACUCAUGCAUGGAAUGAACGCACAUUAUGGAGGAAUCCCCUAUAUGACAUAUGACGGGAAUCAAUGACGUACGGCGACAGGAAUCCCCUAUGGUUUAUGAUUCCUGCAAGUAUAUGGGGGUAUUGUAGCCACAUCAUAGGAAAUAAUUUGAAAUAGGAAUUGUGGUAAACUUGGCUAUCAUAAUG